rnacentral:rRNA from 1 species
UAAUUCCUACGGGGCGCAGCAGUGGGGAAUAUUGCACAAUGGGGGGAACCCUGAUGCAGCGACGCCGCGUGGGCGAGGAAGUAUUUCGGUAUGUAAAGCCCUCUCGGCAGGGAAGAAGAAAUGACGGUACCUGAAUAAGAAGCACCGGCUAAAUACGUGCCAGCAGCCGCGGUAAUACGUAUGGUGCAAGCGUUAUCCGGAUUUACUGGGCGUAAAGGGAGCGCAGGCGGCGCGCCAAGGCUGAUGUGCAACCCCGGGGCUC